GUAUUGUAUUGCGUUAAACGCGGCACUCAUUCCAUAAAACUUUGGUACGGUGUACGUGUAAAGACAUAGAACUACAGGAGGAAGACAGGGUGUCCCCCAAACCAUAGAACUACGGAGGGUGCACAGGUGUGGGUGGAUGUGUGAACAGAGCGUGCACAUGCCCCCAUGUUUGAGGGCCAGCAACAGCUCGUGUCAACAAAUCGGUAAUGAUCCUUCCGCAGGUUCACCUACGGAAA
rnacentral:misc_RNA from 1 species